GACGAACGCUGGCGGCGUGCUUAACACAUGCAAGUCGAACGGAAAGGCCCUGCUUUUGUGGGGUUCUCGCGUGGCGAACGUGUGUGUAACACGUGAGUAACCUGCCCUUUACUUUGGGAUAUCUUCAGGAAACUGGUGCUAAUACCGGAUAGGUGCUCCUGCUGCAUGGUGGGGUUUGGAACGUUUCGGCGGUUGGGGAUGUACUCGCGGCUUAUCAGCUUGUUGGUGGGGUAGUUGCUUACCAAGGCUUUGACGGGUAGCCGGCCUGAGAGGGUGACCGGGGACAAUGGGACUGAGAGACGGAGCAGAGUGGAACGGGAGGCAGCAGGGGGGAAUAUUGCACAAUGGGCGGAAGCGUGAGGAAGAAACGCGGCGAGCGGGAUGAAGGCCUUCGGGUUGUAAAGCGCUUUAGCCUGUGACGAAGCGUGAGUGACGGUAAUGGGAAAAGAAGCACCGGCUAACUACGUG
rnacentral:rRNA from 1 species